GAAGCUAGACACGCUUUCCCGGGGAGGCACGCCCCUACGCAGAGAUAGACACGCCCCCAAGCACAAUGGCACGCCCCCUAUAGAGCGAGACACACCCCCGAGUCAAACUGCACUUGACUGUUAGGACGCUAGGAGCUCCCAUGCCUCGAAGUUGUAGUGGGCUCCAGCAGUUAGCUACUAUCUUUUGUUAGGGCUGAGGCAACACCGGUUAGGACUUGGGCAGCUUCACCACAGAACAGACUUUCUCAAGUUGACAUAUUUUAUUCUCAUGAAGUCCACCUUUUUUCAUUCACAUGGAAAAAGAGUGAUUAUGAAGUCAUGCUGUAAACUGUAACCUUUCUCAUUUACUUGGAUAUAAGAGUGUUCAACUCACUUAGCAAAGACGGUGCUACCUGAAUUGGAGGCUGGUGUCUUCUGACUCCUUCAACUCCCUUUGAGUAAGUUCCUCGCUGUCUUAGUUCCUUCAUGAUGUUAAAACACGACACAGAACUGGGGACCGUGCAAGUAAGAGAAAAUACUUCACACCGUUCUAAGACAGUGAAGUCCAAGAUCAAGGCAUGUGCAGGAUGUGGGAGUGAUGGUUGCAGCACAUCCUGCUUACUGAUGAUGAGAGCUACACACAGGAGGAAGUGGAACGGCGCCUUGGAAACAGUCACUACUGUGGUCAGUGCCUCCUGAGGACUGCACUAAACCACAGAAGAGGGUAAUAGAAGCUGCAUGCUGUUUAAAGUUCUGUUUGUGCCUCUGAAACUAGUCAUGACCACUGUGAGGUUUUUAUUUGGUUAGCUGUCUUUAGAGUAGCACGUAUAACCCCUUGAUAAAAUGUUUAAAGAAAACAGCAGUCUCUCUCACCACUGUCAGUCCUCUCUUUUCUGCUACUGAAAAAAAUCAAUGUGAGCCGAUGAACGGACGCCAAUACAGUUUAAAUAUGUGACCUAUA
rnacentral:sRNA from 1 species